GGCCACUUAGCUCAGUUGGUUAGAGCGUAUGCUUAACACGCAUAAGGUCGGCGGUUCGACCCCGCCAGAGGUCA
rnacentral:tRNA from 1 species